CCUCUCUUCCUGCCCAAUCCCGUCCUCCUCUCCUCUCCCUAAUCAGCCGCCUCCUCCCCUGCUGUUCCUCCAAUCCCAGACCAACGCCUCUCUCUCCCCUUUGGCGGGCUCAGCGCAGCGGCGGGUGAUGCGGGGCAGCUCAGCGCGGCGGCUCAGUGCGGCGGUGGUGGCUGACGCGCUCUGCCGCUGCUGCAUCUCCUUAGGCACGGACGGAUAUCUUGAUGCGCCAGCUGCAACAAGUUGCCCUUGAGAAGUUGGAACGGCUCGGGGAUCUUCCCCUUCCUCGGCCCCUGCCAACAGACUCCCAUCCAGGUUCGUCUCCCUCAGAUCCAGGUUCUAGAUUGUUGGGUGACGUUCGGCUUCAGCAAUGGAUAGAAAAGGAGCAUUCUUCACCACUGAAAAAAAACUCCAGACUUCCCUAUUCUGCAUUUUCGCUGCCUUAUAUGGUCCAUUACUACAAGAUGUCUGAAGUAAAUAAUUACUCCAAUUUCAGCUUUCAUCAGUAUGUGGUUUAUUGUGUCCAUCUGUGAUAUAUGUAUAUAGAUUUUCUGCCUAAUCAGGCUAGCCCGGGCCUAGCAUUUUUCUAACUGUUACGACACUCAUAGACCCUUCUGUUGGAAUUUUGUUUGUAUGAUUAAGUAGACAAUGGCAUUUCUAUUUUCAGAUGAACUUUCUUAUCUUAAGGGAAGCAGUGGUAGUGAUAGUUCAACCUUCACAAAAUAGGUGUCUGAGGGUGGAUUGAAGAUUAACGAAAUCCAUUAUGAUGUGUAUCCUCAAAUCAACGUAAGACAAACAACAUAUAAAUGCCUGGCUCAGAUUGUAUUGAAGAAUGGUCAGGAGAUGACAUAGUGCCGAAGAGGAAGUAAUUAUCAGGCCAGGAGUAUGUAAGUACAUACAUAUGUAGCUCUACUCCCUUUUGGAUUCAGUAGAAAUCAUGGGUCAAAACUUCAAAACUGUAUAACUUCGAGACUUCAAAACUAUAUUGUUUAUACGCCCCAACUCCUAUAUUGGGAGUGUGAAGUGACAUGCUCUGAAUAGGUGUUCCUUGGACUUACUUUUUAUUCUUCAGAUCUCAGGUUCUUAACACUGCAUCAUGGCUUCAGGUCACCGUGUUCUUGCGCAGCCUAUGUUGCUUCCUUUUCCCCCUCUGUACCACCUCUUCCUCGACUACGCCCACUAAUUCUCUCGGUACAUUCAUUGUGUUUACGGAUGUGUUAAGAAAAUCGGGAUAUGAUGGUGUAGCGUUUGUAACAUAAUAUUCUGAUUUUUGUUUGCUGCAAAGAGAAAAAAUAAGGGCAUAUUUAUGGCUACUGGAAAAUAAUAUAUAGAAACAAUGACACAUAAAUAGUUUAGGAAGAAUUAUUCCAAUGCCUUUUGCAUUCUCACUGCAACAAUUUAGGUCGAAAGAAAAACGCUUCUUAUAGCUUCACACAUAUCUAAUGGGGUACCACAAUGCACGUUUUUAUUACAUCUAAAAUGCUACCUGCUAAUGUUGUUGUUGUUUCCGUAGCUACUUCCACCCUAUACCUUUAUAUUUGUAUGGAAUGCUAAUGCUUUGUUUUAUACCAAAAUAUCAAUUAGGAAAAUUUCAAAUCCUCUUAUUAAAACUAUGUUUAUUAUCUACAUUUCUCCAAGGUUAAGUCAGCCACCAAUCAAUUUCAAGUCGCCCAACAUAGUUUAGAAAUUCGAAUUGCCAAAUGGACCACACUGGAGAAUAAUUCUCCAUCAGGUACCUGCAGAUGGAGUGUCGCAUGCCGGAUUUCUCGCCCAUCUAAUCUAAUGUGUAAGGAAGUAAGAUCUCUUUUAAUCAUAUCAUAUAGAAUGUAUAUGUAAAUAUUUUCAAAGCUUAACUUUAAUAUUGCAGUUUCAGUAUAUGUCUUUCAUAUUCUUCCUAGGAGCUUACUCCAUGGUAUUAAAUUUUCUAAUGUGGUUUAUUCUUAUUUUUCUUGCGAUUCAUCUAAAUCAUUUUGUACUCUAUAAGAUUCUAUGCAGCUGUAUUAAUGGUAAAGGGAACGGUUACUUUGAUUUGGAUUUGGGGGAAAUGUUUGUGCCAGUUGGCUCUGGGGGGUUGUGUCAAUUGCUUGUUGUUGAUUUUGGUUUCUUUGAAGUUUGAUUGUACAUUUGUUCGUAUGAUGGGGCCUGUAGGGUUCAGAGGAAUGGGGAUUGCAAACAUGGGUUUCAUGAUUGGGGAUCGCACAUAGGGUGCCGUCGUGUUGCUAUUAUAUUUAUUUUUUCCCUUUUCACUGGUUGAAAUGAUCCUUGUUGAGGUGGACCCUUCUUUUGUGUUAUCUGGUAGUCUCUUUUCGGGAGGCUUUUGAUUUUCAGGUUCUUUACAACAGGUUUUGCUACGUUCCUCAUGUUACAGUGACCUUGUACCUGAACUACUAGAUGGUUGGAGUGUGCCAUUGUUCCCUGUCACACCUCAUAAUCGGUCACAUACCAUAGAUCUUGUCAUAUGGUCUCAUUAAUUUCUUGUUCAUUUUCUUAGUCCACUACUAUAUUUAAUUUUCUAUAAUGAGGUGUGCUUCAGUGGAUUGUAACUGGACCUGGCCAAAGAAAGAAUCUGUGCAGUAUAAAAUAAUUUUCUAUAAUGAGGUGUGCUUCUGAAACUCAUUAAUCUAGACACCUUGGUUCUGGAGCUUUUGUGAUGAAUGACAAAUGAGGUUCAAGCCAGCAAGAUGCUUGUUGUACGUCGAUGAAUAAGGGCGUCCAUCCAAGAUACUAAGCUGCUGGCCAAGCAGGGCAAUUUGUGAGAUGACUGAAUGCUCCUGGAAGAAAACGAGGACAAUAGCAUCACUCCCACAUGUGAACUCCAUGCUCAUCGCUUGUUAAUUUCCUCGAGAAAAUGAUGAGAUGCAUGUUGUUCAACUUGUGUAGAUUUCUCUGAAAAUAUAUGGAGAAGUUAAAUAUGACGAGGAUUCUGAUCAGAUAUGAAUUGGUACUGGGCUGGAUGCUGAAGCACUUAAUUACCGUAUGGAGACUAGCUCAAGAGACAGAAGAUGUACCUCAAAGAAUCUGUCCCAAAAACUAACAAAGUUGCUUGAAGAAUUUCUGGUUCAUGGCACCUUCAUGAUAGUACCAUUAUCUGGUUGAAAUAUCUGCGCCUGCCAUGAUGGUGCUCGUUUCGGUGUGUGGUGGCGGGUCUGCUCGGCAAAAGUUGGACGUCCUACUCCGGCAGAGGCCGCAGCAGCUGGUGGAUGGCGAAGGCCGCAACAGCUCGACUCCUCCUCUUUUCUCUCCCGCCAAGAAGAAGCACCAGACAGCUGGGGAGGUUCUAGACCUUCAUGCAGGUAAAUUGGUGUCAAUUAGCAGCAAUGGACUAGGACAUCAGCUGUGUGCGCUCGAGUACCAGGAAGCAAGCCAAAAGUGUCUGCUCCAAGGUUGCCAGUUGUGAUUCCGGUCACUUUUCAAGCAGAGAAGCAUGAUGAAAAUAGAAUAGUGCCUUUGGAGAUUCAGGUGAAGUUAUAGUUGCAAUAGGAAAAGGGAGAUGAGCCAAUAGCUUUCACUCACUGUCCUCACUAAAGAUCUGUUCACUAGGUUAAAAACGUAAGAUGCACUCAGAUGUAUAUGUGCCCUUCUGGGUGCGGAUUUUGCUAUUAUCAUCUUUCUAUGCAAAUAACUUUCACUCACUUUCUUUACUUAAGAACUGUUACCUGUGUUAAACACUUGAGAUACACUUAAUAUCUGUGUCUCUUUCUUAGUGCAGAUUUUGUUAUGAUGGUCUUACUACGCCGAGAUGCUUGCUCAGAGCUCAUGGAUCACACACGAAGAAAUGAGGAGGAUUCUGUUGCCCAAAUGUGGUCCGAGUGGGGUGUUAUGAUGGGAUGAUGCUCUUACAGUAUUUUGGGCCAUUGACAUACAACCAGGUUACUACCGUUCCUUGACAAGAUGAACAUAUGAAAGUCUGUUAUAUUUUAUUCCGUUACUAUUAUGAUGAUUCGUUUGUAGUUGUACUACUUCUCAGUUUGCCUUUAACAUGAAAACACUGACUGGUUGCAGUUAACAGAGCUCUCCUAAAAAUUCUACCAGCAUUUCUUUUGUCAUUUCAA